GCCAUGACACUGGCCCUGGGAGGGCUUGGCCUGGUGGUUCUCAGUGGGAUGAUCGGGCAACAAGUGUUCUGCCAGCUCCCCUGCUCAACCCAAACCCUGCAGCAUGGUUUAACAGAUGGCCAACAGCAAACUCUUCAAGUCUCAGGGCUUGGCCUUAUCUUGCCUCCCUCCAUUGAGUUGAAGGAGAUAUUUGGCCCCCUCUGCAGCCAUUCAAGUAAUAUCUAUCUGCCCAACACAACCAGCUACUGCAACACCAGUAAGCACUUUCUUAUUCAAAAUAAAUAAAUAAAUAAAUAAAUAAAUAAAUAAAUAAAUAAAUAUUCUCAGAGGCUGCUCUCAAUAAAGUCAGCCCGGAAACCACCUCCCUGGAUUCACUAAAACGGACACGCGCACCUGAUAGUCUCAAGCUCAAGGCUCAGGACUCAGCUCUCUUUGCACAGGUUCCCUGAGCAAAGCAUGCCUCCUAUCCCUGAGCAGGUCUGACCAACUGACAGCCAGGGCUACUGGCACCUGCAAACCUCUCCCUUGCUAAUGCAAAGGGUCAAAAUGCACUAAGCCCACCCCACAGGACUUCACUCUAGGAGAUGCUAUGGAACUGUUGGAGGAGGGCAGGAGCAGGGGAGUGGUUGGCAAGCCCGUAUCCUACUCCCAGAGGACCUGGGUGACUCAAGGUGCAGGACCUCAGUCUCGAUGAGAGCGGUGGUACUGAGUUUUCACUCAUUUUGUUCAGCUUUUCCAAGGAAUGAUUGACUGGGAAUCAUCAUCGAUCCAAGCACGCUGGAGUGGUCUGGCCCAGAGACUUUGAGAGCUUUUCCAAGGAAUGAUUGACUGGGAAUCAUCAUCGAUCCAAGCACGCUGGAGUGGUCUGGCCCAGAGACUUUGAGAGCUUUUCCAAGGAAUGAUUGACUGGGAAUCAUCAUCGAUCCAAGCACGCUGGAGUGGUCUGGCCCAGAGACUUUGAGAGGUAGGUCUCCUCUCAAGCCAGGGUUGGGUUGGGGAGUGCGAGAACUGCCCAGCCGUGCCCCUUCUUGCAAAGGGAGGUUGCAAUGUGUCCAUGCAUGGAAGGCGGGAACACCUUCAGGACCAAAGUCUGCUACAGG